rnacentral:rRNA from 1 species
UACAGAGGGUGCGAGCGUUGUUCGGAAUUACUGGGCGUAAAGCGCGCGCAGGCGGCCUUUUAAGUCUGACGGUGAAAUGCCGGGGCUCAACCCCGUGCCCGCCGGAGAUACUGGGAGGCUGGAGACGAGUAGAGGCAAGCGGAAUUCCGGGUGUAGCGGUGGAAUGCGUAGAGAUCCGGAAGAACACCGGAGGCGAAGGCGGGAUCCUGGGCCAGUACUGACGCUGAGGAGCGAAAGCGUGGGGAGCAAACAGG